ensembl:lncRNA
GUGGACAGAUGAGACCAAAAUGGAAUUAUUAUUUUUGGUUUAUAUGAGAAGUGUUCUGUUUGGAGUAAAGAACACACUUCAUUCCAGCAUAAGAACCUCAUCCCAUCUGUGAAACGUGGUGGUAGUAUCGUGGUUUGGGCCUGUUUUGCUGCAUCUGUGCCAGGACGACUAACCAUUGUUGAUGGAACAAUGAAUUCUGAAUUAUACCAGCAAAUUCUAAAGGAAAAUGUCAGGACAUCUGUCUCAAGCGAAACUGGGCCAUGAAGCAAGACAACAACCCCAAGCACACAAGUCAUUUAACCAAAGCAUGGUUAAAAAAGGACAACGUUACUGUUUUGGAAUGGCCGAGUCUAGAGCACCGCACAGAAAUGUGGCAGUUCAUGAGAUGGAGCAGGUACAGGUCUCCUCUGUCCCUCAUAAGUUUGUGUCUGGACUUUGACACCAAGUUCAAGACAACAACAGAAGUGCACACAUCUAAAUCUGACUCACUGCUGACUUGACACAGAGAUUAAAUGGUCUUACCGAUUGGGGUUUUCGUUUGUGAAAUGUUGGAUCAAUGUAAGUGAUCUCUUCUUCACAACUCUGAACUGUUUAAACAAAACUUACAGAUAAAUUAAAACAACUCAAUCUUAACUAGAUGUUUCCUUACAACAUCAAGGCUCAAAUAUAAGCAUUAAUGCACACGUUUUAACAAAUAUUUAAUGCUGCAUUUAAAAAAAAAUGUCAGUAAAUAAUUUAUUCAGCUUGACAUUAGGAAUGUUACACACACAAAGUUCUUAGCAGAGUAAGCAAUGAGAAAUUCU